rnacentral:rRNA from 1 species
AGUGAACGCUGGCGGUAGGCCUAACACAUGCAAGUCGAACGGCAGCACAGUAAGAGCUUGCUCUUACGGGUGGCGAGUGGCGGACGGGUGAGGAAUACAUCGGAAUCUACUUUUUCGUGGGGGAUAACGUAGGGAAACUUACGCUAAUACCGCAUCCGACCUACGGGUGAAAGCAGGGGAUCUUCGGACCUUGCGCGAUUGAAUGAGCCGAUGUCGGAUUGGCUAGUUGGCGGGGUAAAGGCCAACCCAGGCGACGAUCCGCAGCUGGUCUGAGAGGAUGGUCGCCCACACUGGAGCGGGGACGCGGUCCAGACGCCUACGAGAGGCAGCAGAGUGCAAUAUUGGACAGUGGGCGCAAGCCUGAUCCAGCCAUACCGCGUGGGUGAAGAAGGCCUUCGGGUUGUAAAGCCCUUUUGUUGGGAAAGAAAAGCAGCAGCUUAAUACCCCGCUGUUCUGACGGUACCCAGAGAAUAAGCACCGGCUAACUUCGUG